GAUCCGGGUUCGCCCCCAAGCCGGGGCCGGGAGCGGUCCCCGCCCCGCUGAAGAGCCUGUAGUUUUUGGGACCACUGCCCAGAGAGAACCCGCCGAGACUCUCUGCUUCCUGAGUUUCUUUUCUGGAGGUUUGGCUGGAGAGCAGCCAGAGAACAUUCCCCUACUGCCUGACCAUGGGAAGUCAUAGGAGGAGCACCGAUGUGUGAGAAAUGAGACACAGUGCUGCCCACCAUGUCUCUCCACUUCUCAUUAUGGUUGUACAACCAGUUUCAGAAGGCUUCUGUGAGAUAACGAAAUGUUUCCUGGGAACCUUCCACCAAAGUCAUAUAUCAGGCGUUCGAGUCUAGACCAGUCACUGCCCGAGGGCAGUCCAGGUUUACAUUUACUCUCCCAUACUUUCUGCAUACUUCUCUAGUCAAGCUUGCCAUUCUCUUUGCCUAGGGGGACUCAGUUUCCCUGUAGGCUGAUGUCUGCUGAGUCAGUGGGGAUAGGGCAGUUUGACCCAUGAGAUUUACCUGCUCAGGGCCAGGACCUAACUGGUGAUUGUGAAAAAUCACUCAGCGUGAAUAGGUUUGUAGAAGGCCGCCACCAUCAUAGGGGCCACAGCUAGAAGCUAGAGUGUGUCCCAUUGGCAAGCCCGGCCCCUCAGCUUUCCUACAGAAUCUCAAGAAGGUGAAAACUUCAGAGAUUCCCUUGGGUGCAAAACAACAGCACAAGCCCAGAAGGAGUGGAGACCUCACAACACACGAGAUCCUGGACAUGAGCCAGACCCUGUAACCACAGCAGUUGUCUCUUUGGGUUGGUAAAUGAAAUAAUGCUUUGAAUGCAGGCUCUAGGGCAGAGAUGGACUUGAGGAAAACACCACAUAGGAUAACUGAAUAUGAAACACUAGGAAUAAAGGUCUGUAUCAUUUUAAUGCAUAGUCACUCCAUGGGAAGAUGUUUAAAAAAUAGAAACAGAUUUCUGAUGUGAAUUUUAAUUUACAAGAUCUUCUCUUCCCUGAUGUCUCCUUCUUCCUCUUUUUUUUUUCUCAUUCUUUUCCUUUCAUCUUCUCCUAGUCAAUAAAGAGCAACGGGACUUGACAUCCAGAGAGAAAGAAAUAUGAGGAGCCACACCCCACAAUUUCAUCUUGUAAAUGAGCUUAGGAAAGGAGAACAGGAGGGAAAGCCCCCGGGGCUGUCCGCCUGGGCUUCUGUCACUGCAGACAUCUGGCUUUUAAUGACAUGAUAUGGGAAGAAUCAUUUGGCACCAUCAUUGCUGUUAAAUGUCUUUCAAGCAUUAAUAAAACAUAAGAGACUCGCU
ensembl:processed_transcript 4930461C15Rik RIKEN cDNA 4930461C15 gene